UGCUUAGAGCACUGUUAAUUGAGCCCAUUCUAUAAUAUUGUGAAGAAGAAGAAGAAGAAGAAGAAGAAGAAGAAGAAGAAGAAGAAGAAGAAGAAGAAGAAGAAGAAAAGAAAAAAACGCCUCUGACCAUAUAUAUGACAACACACAGUCACACAAGAAUGCUGUGCACCCCAUUAGACACGUGGGUGAGACAGGAACUCUGUUGUGGUUGCUCUCCAUGACUCAGCCAGUUUUCCUUGUUCAGACCCCUCGGGGCUUCUGGUUCAAACCACAGAGUAUGGCGGGGUGCCGGCGAAGCAUGCGCUUGGCUUGUUACUUGAGCCUCCGUUGAAAUGGAGACAAAGGAGUUGUGAGGGACAGGGACAAUCUCAAAUGACCCUUCUCAUUGCACUCUCGAAGGUGGAAAGCUGAUAUCUGAGAGCAGCCAGGUGACAGGAAUGGGGGACUGGAAGCCUGUCAUAUAUGUAGGCACUGGAGACAUGAGGCCAGAGGACCAGACAAUGGUCUUUAUAUAGGACACUGGUGUCACCAUCCACCCCUCUUGUUCAUGCUUGUGUACUUCCGUCAUGCUGGUGUAGAUGUGAGACUCUUCCUGGAAGUCUCCCAGGAGUAGAGCAUCCCUUGGGAGCUCAGGCAUGAUGGGAUGGAAGAGACAGGAUUGCUAAUGGGCAGUAUUUGACUCAUGAAGCAGCCAAGAAGCAAAGGAGCCCAGGCCUGACCAUGAGCUGGGAUACGCUCCUUCAUGUGGGAGGGCUAUCCCUGCUACUGGACUCAGCAAUGGAAAAGGCUCUCUGAACCAGGAGGUGAUGGUGCACGGCUUUAAUCCCAGCACUCAGGAGGCAGAGGCAGGCAGAUCUUUGUGAGUUCAAGGGCAGCCUGGUCUACAGUGUGAGUCCCAGGACAACUAAGGCUGUUACACAGAGAAACCCUGUCUCAGGGGGAAAAAAGAAAGAAAGGAAGAAAGAGAAUGUCUCUCUGGAUAGGACAAGUGCUGGGUGCAUGUGGUCCUCUCCACAGCGGUCGCCUCCCUUUGGUCCCCUUCUUCUCACAGACCUAUCACUCACCUUCCCAUCACCCACCACGCAGUGGGAGACCUGGAGGCUGCACAGACUCCAGGUAACUCAUUAACUAUUAAGUCAAGUUGAAGUCCCUGCCUCCUCUGAGGUUACUCAUUAAUGCCUGUGAACUCUGUCCCAGUACCUGGUUGACAGGACCACCUGUCACUGGAAAUGGCCCUUUCCUCCACCAGUGUGAUGGUCGCUGUGGUCAACGGACAGAAUCCAGAACCACCCGGAAGAGAGUGCCCCGGGGCCUUGCUUUAGUUAAUGAGGUAAAAUGCAUCUUAAUUGUGGGCGGGGCAGUUCCCAGGGUAGGGGAGUCGAUGGAGAAAGCCAGCUGAGCAUUCCUGUAGCAGGUAUCACCCCUGCUUAUCAA